AGCAUGAACUUAGCUUGCUAAGUUUGAUGGCGACCGGCGCACGGGUGAGUAACACGUAUCCAACCUGCCGAUGACUCGGGGAUAGCCUUUCGAAAGAAAGAUUAAUACCCGAUGGCAUAGUUCUUCCGCAUGGUAGGACUAUUAAAGAAUUUCGGUCAUCGAUGGGGAUGCGUUCCAUUAGCUUGUUGGCGGGGUAACGGCCCACCAAGGCAUCGAUGGAUAGGGGUUCUGAGAGGAAGGUCCCCCACAUUGGAACUGAGACACGGUCCAAACUCCUACGGGAGGCAGCAGUGAGGAAUAUUGGUCAAUGGGCGCUAGCCUGAACCAGCCAAGUAGCGUGAAGGAUGACUGCCCUAUGGGUUGUAGACUUCUUUUAUAUGGGAAUAAAGUGCAGUAUGUAUACUGCUUUGCAUGUACCUUAUGAAUAAGGAUCGGCUAACUCCGUGCCAGCAGCCGCGGUAAUACGGAGGAUCCGAGCGUUAUCCGGAUUUAUUGGGUUUAAAGGGAGCGUAGGCGGGUUGUUAAGUCAGUUGUGAAAGUUUGCGGCUCAACCGUAAAAUUGCAGUUGAUACUGGCAUCCUUGAGUACAGUAGAGGUAGGCGGAAUUCGUGGUGUAGCGGUGAAAUGCUUAGAUAUCACGAAGAACUCCGAUUGCGAAGGCAGCCUGCUGGACUGUAACUGACGCUGAUGCUCGAAAGUGUGGGUAUCAAACA
rnacentral:rRNA from 1 species